rnacentral:snRNA from 1 species
AGCCAUUUGCACAGUGGCAGUAUCGUAGCCAAUGAGGUUUAUCCGAGGCGCGAUUAUUGCUAAUUAAAAUGAAAAUGCUUUGAUUCCUUAGUGGGGCAACAAAGAUGCUUGCUGACGUCCUGUGGCC